rnacentral:rRNA from 1 species
UACGAAGGGGGCUAGCGUUGUUCGGAUUUACUGGGCGUAAAGCGCACGCAGGCGGCCGUGCACGUGGGGUGUGAAAGCGCUCGGCUUAACUGAGCGAUGCCACCUCAUACGGCAGGGCUCGAGCCCGUGAGAGGUCCACGGAAUUGCCGGUGUAGUGGUGAAAUGCGUAGAGAUCGGCAGGAACACCCAGGGGGAAACCAGUGGACUGGCACGGUGCUGACGCUCAGGUGCGAAAGCGUGGGGAGCGAACCGG